rnacentral:rRNA from 1 species
UGGGGAAUUUUGGACAAUGGGCGCAAGCCUGAUCCAGCCAUGCCGCGUGCAGGACGAAGGCCUUCGGGUUGUAAACUGCUUUUGUACGGAACGAAAAGCUCUUCUCUAAUACAGAGGGGUCAUGACGGUACCGUAAGAAUAAGCACCGGCUAACUACGUGCCAGCAGCCGCGGUAAUACGUAGGGUGCAAGCGUUAAUCGGAAUUACUGGGCGUAAAGCGUGCGCAGGCGGUUUUGUAAGACAGAGGUGAAAGCCCCGGGCUCAACCUGGGAACUGCCUUUGAGACUGGAAGGCUGGAGUGCGGUAGUGGGGGGUGGAAUUCCCCGUGUAGCAGUGAAAUGCGUAGAUAUCUGGAGGAACACCGCUGGCGAAGGCAACCCACUGGAAACGCACUGACGCUGAAGCGCGAAAGCGUGGGGAGCAAACA